rnacentral:lncRNA from 1 species
CCCUUGCUCUGUAAAAGCAAGCUCUCUUCCUGUUCUUUGGAUUUGCUAUGGUCUGCCAUAGAUUACAUUUCCCAAACUGCAAUUCCUCUGGGUAUUCCAGAGUAAACUCAUUCUGCUACUGAGGAAGACCUUCCUGGGCUUCAGUGACACUUCUCACACUCCAGAGCACCUUCGGCAAAGCUCCCUCUGAGCACGUACAACAGUCUGUUGGCAUUGAGUCUCAGUCUCCUUAGUGCCUGGCACAGAACAGGUUCAGAUGACCCAGGAACACCUUAGAGCCAUCCCAGCGACGUCCCCAGCCCCUUGUUUGAUGGAUUGCUUCUGCAGUCAGUGGCACCAGAUGGCUUGUCCAGUCCACAGUGGAGACAGAAGAACUGUGAUCACUCGUGACGGCGACUCUUGCUUCUUAGGACCUUUUCGGAUUCAGGAAGCAGAAAUCACUUGAACUAAUGUAAGUAAAGAGGAGAAAGGCUUCUGAGGACACUGGAGUGUCACAUAAAGCAGCCCAGUCAUGGAAGGUCAGGGGUCAGAAGCCUUGGACCCCACGGAGCCUGGAAGUGAAGCCCAGCGCUGGCUCUUCCUCUGCUUCUCUCUCUGCUGCAGGCUGGUCUCUGCUUCUCAGCCCCAUGAACAGGAGGCCCGUUGGUCAAGAGUUUAGAGUCUUUCUCCUGUCAAACUAAGGCUGGGGUCCUUGCCGUCUUCUGCCCUGGGAGGCCCAGUUCUGCUCACGGCACCCUCUCUUUUAAUUCCCAUUGACCAAAGCACUCAAAAAGUUCAAAAGUCUUUCCAACAAAAUUGAAACAAAUAAUAAUGUUUUGUCCACUGGUAUUUGUGAUCGUGAGGCCUGGGGCUGGGGCCUCUCUUGCUUAGUAAAGGGAUGUUUGCUGUAAGCCUUAAAUUCCCAAAACCUCUUGAGUCAAUUCAAGUCAACCUAUUAGUACCAAAAACAAAAUUGGAAAGCUCAAUGUUGCCUUUUUUACAUAAUGUCUUUUAAGAAAUUCUGACUGAUGCACGAAAACAUUAAAUAGAAGUAGGGGAAACAAGCAUUAUGUUACAUAUAAAUUUUGUUUUUCUUUUUCUUUUUGUCUUUUUAGGGCCGCACCCGUGGCAUAUGGAGGUUUCCAGGCUAGGGGUCCAACUGGAACUGUGGCCCUGGCUUACGCCACAGCCACAGCAAUUCAGGAUCUGAGCCUGUCUGUGACCUACACUGCAGCUCACGGCAACGCCAGAUCCUUAACCCACUGAGCAAGGCCAGGGAUCGAACCCAGGUCCUCAUGGAUACUAGUCAGAUUUGUUUCUGCUGAGCCAUGAUGGAAACUCACCACAUAAAUUUAAUAUAUAACAAAGGAGGCUUCACAUAGAGAAAGGCAGAGUCGUUUAGUACAUUGUGAGGGAAUUCCUAAUUAGCAAUUCAGAAACAUAUCUCUGGCCCUGACCUCUUUCCAUAUAUCAAAUAGUAAUUUAAUCUUGUAUACAUUCAAGAGUGACACAUUUAACAAUGAACUAUUGGAGAAAAACCAGAAUAGAAGUGAAAUUUAUCAAUCUGUGUACAGAGGAGAACUUUCUAAGUGUAAAUUUUCCAGAAGAAAAAAUGCAAUUGCAAGCUUUUCAAAAAUUAAAAGUGACCACAGUAUAGCCGAAAUAAAAUCAUACAGGAAAACUUACAUAACACAGCCAACAGCAAAGUGGGAAAAGCAAUCACAGCAAGCAAGUCAGGAGUUAAAUCCCUAGCCUGCAAACACUGCACACAAACGGACAGGGAAAAUACUUAAAAUCCUGUCGUUUAAUAAAGGGUAUGAACUGACGGUCCACACAGAAGAGGAAAUAAAACUAAUACGCAGUCAUUAGAAAAUGUGUGGUCACACAAGUCGAAUUAAUGCAAAUUUUAAAUCCAGAAUAAGGUCCUGUUUUCACAUAUUUGUAUCUUUUCUUAAAAAAUGGAAAUACCCGGGAGUUCCUGUCGUGGUGUGGCGAAAACAAUCCCACUAGUAUCCAUGAGGAUGCGGAUUCGAUCCCAGGCCUUGCUCAUCGGGUUUAGAAUCCAGCAUUGCUGUGAGUUGCGGUGUGGUGUAGGUCACAGGCUCGACUUGGAUCUCGUGUUGCUGUGGCUGUGGUGUAGGCCAGCAGCUGCAGUUCUGAUUCAACCGCUAGCCUGGGAACCUCCAUAUGCCACAGGUGUGCCCCCCCCCCAAAAGCAAAUAAAUAAAUAAAUAAUGGAAAUAUCCAAAGCUAGGAGGAAUGUAGAAAAAUAAUGCCAUUUAUUAUUUCGCUGGUGGAACGAUCAAGUAAUAGAAAGAAAGCAAUUUGGGGAACUUGACCCCUUGACUUACUAUUUCUACUUCCUUGAGUCUAAACUGAAGAAAAAUAAUCCACCGUAUUAGCUUUUUUUUUUUUCCCUCCCCCCCCCCCUUUUUUUUUUUUGGUCUGCCCUGAGGCAAAUGGAGUUCCCUGGUCAGGGAUCAGAUCUGAGUUCCAUCCUAAGCCAUAGCUUAGGCAACACCAGCUCCUUAACCCACUGUGCCAGCCCGGGGAUUGAACCUGCAUCUCAGCAUUCCCAAGACGCCUCCAGUCCCAUUGUGCCACAGCAGGAACUUCCUGAAGAGAUAAUCCAAAAUGGAAACAAAUAUAUUCACUGUAGUGAUAUUUGAUAAGGAAGAAAAAUUGAAAGCAAACAUAGGGUUCAAUGCUUAGCAGAUUAUGGUCCAUUUGCUCAUGCACACAAACAUUUACUGAGCACCUACUGUCUGCCAGGUUCUGUGCAAGAAGCUGAAGAAACAAAGAUGGGCCAGACAGAUUCUAUAAAGGGCAUAUUACAUGGCAGGCAUGAGAGUGGGGAGCGAGCAGGGAGUAGGCAUUUAUUGAGGAGCUAUUUACAUAUAUCACCACACUUAAUCUGAGGUCCUGAGCCACACAGUCCUUGAGUGAUAAAUUGGGGCAGGAAGCAGCCAGCAGAGAAGGGUCAUACAGCAUGCCUGGGGGAGAUACAGAACCCGCCUGAAUUUUGUUCUUUCUCUCGUCCAUCUCUGGUCCUCAGUCCUUGUCUCUCAGAUCACCCUGGGAACAAUGAUGCGUGACAGAUUUUGGCUGUAAGAAGGAACUUCAAGGCUCCCAAACAACUAAGUCCAGUCCCCUGCAGGGCAGAUUCUAGAGCCACUACCAGCUAAGAAUUCCAAAGAUUUUUCCUUUUAGCAUCCCUAGGAAUUCCUUUCUCUCCCUGCCCCUGCCCGUCAGCUUGCAUCUCAAAUUUACUAGAGUGCUCUGCCAAUUAAGUUUGCUCUAUUUGACAGAAUCCCAUCUCCUGUAAGCUGGUUGGGGUUAUAAAUAACACAAUAAAUUUUCACGUACAAAAUGUGCCAGCAAACAAACCAAAAGCUUUAAUGGUUCUCCAAUACCUAAUAACACAUUUAGACACCUAACAAUGAUUUUCCAGAGCCUCUGUUAUCACCUGUUGCUCCUGAAAACAUCAUCUCCAUUCCAUUUAAUAAGCCACCUUGGAGCCAAGAACUUGGUUUUAGAAAUGAGGAUAUAAGGCAAUACAAUAAUAAAAUCAGAAAUGCAAAUUUGCAGAGUUUCCAUUGUGGCUCAGUGGGUUAAGGACCUGAUGUUUUCUCUGUGAGGAUGCAGGUUCGAUCCCUGGCCUUGCUCAGUGAGGUAAGGCUCUGACAUUGCCACAAGCUGCAGUGUACAUCACAGAUAUGGCUUGGGUCCAGUGUUGCUGUGGCAGUGACAUAGGCUGCAGUCAUAGCUCUAGUUCAGCCCCUAGCCUGGGAACUUCUAUAUGCUGCAGGUAUGGCUGUAAAAGAAAAAAUGCAAAUUUAAGUCGAUAAUGAAAGAAAUGCAAAUGAUGUGAAGAGUAU